ensembl:rRNA 5S_rRNA 5S ribosomal RNA
GUCUAUGGACAUACCACCCUGAAUGUGCCUGAUCUCGGAAGCUAAGCAGGGUCGGGCCUGGUUAGUACUUGGAUGGGAGAAUUUACUCUGGGUGUGGUAUAUU